rnacentral:misc_RNA from 1 species
UCUCCGUAGGUGAACCUGCGGAGGGAUCAUUAAAGAGUUCAUGCCCUACCGGGUAGAUCUCCCACCCUAUGUUAUUAUUACUUUGUUGCUUUGGCGGGCCGUUAGGCUCCGGCCCGACUACCGGCCCCGGCUGGUAAGCGCCCGCCAGAGGACCCAAAACCCUGAAUAUUAGUGUCGUCUGAGUACUAUAUAAUAGUUAAAACUUUCAACAACGGAUCUCUUGGUUCUG